ACUCUGCUUUUAUACUUGGAGGGUAACUUUCCUUAGUGUCUUGAGUUGGAACAUUAUCCAGGGUAGUGGCAAAGCAAACCAUCUAGAAAGGGAGAGGCUGGAAGUGUGGCUGUCUGACCACACAGAAAGCUGUAACAUUUUGUUACAAAUGGUGUUCUUGGCAUGCAUAGAGACUUUGUAAGAUUUAAUUUGAAAAAAAAAAGAUUAUCUUCACACGUCUCAGGAACUUGAUCAGGAAAAGAAAGAAGGUAUAAUAGGAAGAAUACUGAAUUAGAAGCAGAGUCUUGGCUUGUUGGCGUCCACUCCUGCUUCCUUUCUACUACUCACUCUGGGCCUCAGCUUCCUUAUCUGUGAGAGAAGAAGAUUGGAUCAGCUUCCCUGGUUGCUCAGCUGGUAAAGAAUCUGCUUGCAGUGCAGGAGACCCUGGUUUGAUUCCUGGGUUGGGAAGAUCCCCUGGAGAAGAGAUAUGCUACCCACUCUGGUAUUCUUGGGCUUCCCUUGUGGUUCAGCUGGUAAAAGAAUCCACCUGCAAUGUGGGAGACCUGGGUUUAAUCCCUGGGUUGGGAAGAUCCUCUGGAGAAGGGAAAGGUUACCCACUCCAGGAUACAGUCCAAGGAGUCACAAGGAAUC
ensembl:lncRNA